rnacentral:tRNA from 1 species
UGGCUCAGUGGUAGAGCAUCGCCUUGCCAAGGCGAGGGUCGCGGGUUCGAAUCCCGU